GACGAACGCUGGCGGCGUGCUUAACACAUGCAAGUCGAACGGAAAGGCCCUGCUUUUGUGGGGUGCUCGAGUGGCGAACGGGUGAGUAACACGUGAGUAACCUGCCCUUGACUUUGGGAUAACUUCAGGAAACUGGGGCUAAUACCGGAUAGGAGCUCCUGCUGCAUGGUGGGGGUUGGAAAGUUUCGGCGGUUGGGGAUGGACUCGCGGCUUAUCAGCUUGUUGGUGGGGUAGUGGCUUACCAAGGCUUUGACGGGUAGCCGGCCUGAGAGGGUGACCGGCCACAUUGGGACUGAGGUACGGCCCAGACUCCUACGGGGGGCAGCAGUGGGGAAUAUUGCACGAUGGGCGGAGGCCUGAUGCAGGAACGCCGCGUGCGGGAUGACGGCCUUCGGGUUGUAAACCGCUUUCGCCUGUGACGAAGCGUGAGUGACGGUAAUGGGUAAAGAAGCACCGGCUAACUACGUG
rnacentral:rRNA from 1 species